rnacentral:rRNA from 1 species
CCUACGGGAGGCAGCAGUGGGGAAUAUUGCACAAUGGGGGAAACUCUGAUGCAGCGACGCCGCGUGAGUGAAGAAGUAAUUCUUUAUGUAAAGCUCUAUCUGCAGGGAAGUAAAUGACGGUACCUGAGUAAGAAGCCCCGGCUAACUCCGUUCCAGCAGCCGCGGUUAUACGGAGGGGGCCAGCGUUAUCCGGAUUUACUGGGUGUAAAGGGAGCGUAGACGGUAGUGCAAGUCUGGAGUGAAAGGCGGGGGCUCAACCCCCGGACUGCACUGGAAACUGUACGGCUGGAGUGCAGGAGAGGUAAGUGGAAUUCCUAGUGUAGCGGUGAAAUGCGUAGAUAUUAGGAGGAACACCAGUGGCGAAGGCGGCUUACUGGACUGUAACUGACGUUGAGGCUCGAAAGCGUGGGGAGCAAACAGGAUUAGAUACCCUUGUAGUC